AACGAACGCUGGCGGCAGGCCUAACACAUGCAAGUCGAACGCCGUAGCAAUACGGAGUGGCAGACGGGUGAGUAACGCGUGGGAACAUACCCCUCGGUUCGGAAUAACUUAGGGAAACUUGAGCUAAUACCGGAUACGUCCGAGGUUUUAACCGGCCUCGGAGAAAGAUUUAUCGCCGGAGGAUUGGCCCGCGUCUGAUUAGCUUGUUGGUGAGGUAAUGGCUCACCAAGGCGACGAUCAGUAGCUGGUCUGAGAGGAUGAUCAGCCACAUUGGGACUGAGACACGGCCCAAACUCCUACGGGAGGCAGCAGUGGGGAAUAUUGGACAAUGGGCGAAAGCCUGAUCCAGCCAUGCCGCGUGAGUGAUGAAGGCCUUAGGGUUGUAAAGCUCUUUACCCGGGAAGAUAAUGACGGUACCGGGAGAAUAACGCCCCGGCUAACUUCGUGCCAGCAGCCGCAGUAAC
rnacentral:rRNA from 1 species